CAGUAGCCGCGGUAAUACAGAGGGUGCAAGCGUUAAUCGGAAUUACUGGGCGUAAAGCGCGCGUAGGUGGUUCGCCAAGUUGGAUGUGAAAUCCCCGGGCUCAACCUGGGAACUGCAUCCAAAACUGGCGAGCUAGAGUAUGGUAGAGGGUGGUGGAAUUUCCUGUGUAGCGGUGAAAUGCGUAGAUAUAGGAAGGAACACCAGUGGCGAAGGCGACCACCUGGACUGAUACUGACACUGAGGUGCGAAAGCGUGGGGAGCAAACAGGAUUAGAUACCCCUGUAGUCCCUGUCUCUUAUAA
rnacentral:rRNA from 1 species